UGCUUCUGCUGCUGCCUUGCAUCCCUCCAACUGUUUCCUCAGAAACCAAGGUUAUGCAAGUAGGAAGUAAAACUGACUCUGCAGACUGCAUAGGUUGCUGAAACAACUGAUUAUUUCUGUCUUAUCCCAAAUAAAGCAGCUGGAAUGCACGGUCUGCCUAGAAGAAAAAAUGGCCUUUUUCUUACAUGAGAGAGGAGCUGAGGAAGCACAAGAGAAGGAACCAUGUGUGGAUGAAGCCACCUUGCCAAGGUGUUAAUCAGAGAAUAACAGGAUAUGCACAUCUGCCCAGCUGUGCCCUGCUUUGUGACUGCUCCUCCUCCUGCUUACAAGCACAUGUAAACCUGGAUGUCUCUUUGGAAGGUGCAGCUGAAAAUUGUUGGCUGUCCUAAUUGAUGUGUUCUUCUCCAGCACCCAGCUCAGCAUGAGGUCCUGUUUGAAAGGAGAACUGAACUAAAUAAAGUAAAUAAAUAAACCAAAUGAAGUUCCCAAAGUGAAUGGAAGGCACUACAGUUACACAGUUAAAACUGCUGCUGGUUUCAGGAUGGCUUUGUCGUCUCCCAUCUCACACACAUGGGAGAAGAGUAGUGGGAUACCAUAAUCCUGCCUACCACAAGAAUGUGGUAUUUUCCUUGGACUGCUGUGCAAAUUCUUGAAACCACCUUUGAAAGCCAUCUGAUCAGAUCUUGCAUGAAUUUGGGCUAUUGCAAGGAUACUCCAGAGGUUGUCUGAGGAGACAGUUCACAUAUGUCCAGUGUUAGACACCAAGAGAGGACAUGAGCUCCACAGAUCACAUUUCAACAGUGACUUUACCAGUUGUCAAGUACUGGAUUUUAAAGUUGAAAUUAGGUGUGUAACCUUAAAAUACCACUUUUGUGGAAUCUUGGCUUCUGGCAUGUGAGUCUUACCUUGGUGAUGUGAUGUGGACAACACUGCCAUGUCCUGGUGAAGUAGUGUGAGCAGGUUAUGUUUGCAACACCAGAGAGGAAAGGAACAAAGUAGAAACAUACUUUCAAUAUCAGGUAAAAAAAAUCCUGUAUUUAAAGGUGUAUUUCUUCUCUUAUAUUAGUACAAGUGUGGGAAAAUCUGGGAUACAGAACUUUCAAGCAAAAACAGUGUUUCAAACAAAAACAAUGUAAGAUUAGGUUCUACAGGAAUGGAUUUUGUAUAUCACAUUUUAGUCUUCUGCAUAAAUUGAAUAAGUUAUCAUUAUUGCAGUGGAGUUAUGGCAAAAUAAAUCUACUGGGUGUAUAGAAAUUGUAAUUCUUAGGAAUACAUCAGGAUUACAUCAGGACAAAUAAGGGCUGAAGGUGAACUUUGGUCAGACAGUAAAUACAAAAUAAAAAUACUGUACACAGACUUCUGAAUAAACACAUAGAAGCUUGAAAAAUUUCUUAAGAGAGCCAAAACAUCUUGCUGGCCUCUAUUUGUAGGGAGCACUAUUCUCCUUAUGAUGUAAGACAAGGUUCAGUUAUGGGCAUUUAUCUAAGUAUUUGUCAGUAUUUGUGUAUUUGUACUAACACUAGUUGGGACGGCUGUAUAUGGGUACAUCACGUCGAAGAAAAAUAAAGC